AACGAACGCUGGCGGCAUGCCUAACACAUGCAAGUCGAACGAAACUUUCGUUUUCGGAUGGAGGUUUAGUGGCGCACGGGUGCGUAACGCGUGGGAAUCUGCCCUUUGGUUCGGAAUAACACAGAGAAAUUUGUGCUAAUACCGGAUGAUGACGUAAGUCCAAAGAUUUAUCGCCGAAGGAUGAGCCCGCGUAGGAUUAGCUAGUUGGUGGGGUAAAAGCCUACCAAGGCGACGAUCCUUAGCUGGUCUGAGAGGAUGAUCAGCCACACUGGGACUGAGACACGGCCCAGACUCCUACGGGAGGCAGCAGUGGGGAAUAUUGGACAAUGGGCGCAAGCCUGAUCCAGCAAUGCCGCGUGAGUGAAGAAGGCCUUCGGGUUGUAAAGCUCUUUUACCCGGGAAGAUAAUGACUGUACCGGGAGAAUAAGCCCCGGCUAACUCCGUGCCAGCCGCCGCCGUAA
rnacentral:rRNA from 1 species